rnacentral:lncRNA from 1 species
AUAAUAUUCUUGCAUUUUGCUCAUUUGAUGUCAUAAUGACAAAUUAUACUGAAGAUAUGAAAACAAUGAGGGUGUGCCUACAUUAGCACUUUAGUUUGGCUCAGAAGGACAACCCUGAAGAGCACAUCAUCAUAACCCCCAUUUGCUUAUUUUGAUUCACGUCACAGAGCAGUCACAGAGAGCACACACUGUGUUCCCCUUAGAUGAAACUAAACCAGAAGGUUUGCUCUGGCUGUUAAUGAGCAUCCAGAUCAGGGACCAGGCAAGAGCUAGCUGGAAACAACUCCCCAGCACAACAUACACACUUUGUACAGUGGAUCCUCAGUACCAUUUCUCUGUUCAUCAGCACCUGUUGGGCUAAUAUCAAGUUCCAAGACCGACCAGGAACCAAUCUCCAAUACACAAAUUCACCUGGGACCCACUGCAUCGACCACUACUUCUGUCUGCCAUGGCAGAGCAUUUUUCCUAUGAGAGCAUUGACCCCAAAGUACUGUUAUGGAUUUCAUAAUUCCUGUUCUUCACAAUGAGUGCCAUCAGUAAGUCAGUCAAACUCAUGAAUAAAUACUUAUUAAUAAAAGUAUUGAACUAACCA